rnacentral:rRNA from 1 species
AUUGAACGCUGGCGGCAGGCCUAACACAUGCAAGUCGAGCGAGCGGCGGACGGGUGAGUAAUGUAUGGGGACUGCCCGAUAGAGGGGGAUAACUACUGGAAACGGUAGCUAAUACCGCAUACUAUCGGAUAACCCAUAUGGGAUUAGCUAGUAGGUGAGGUAAUGGCUCACCUAGGCGACGAUCCCUAGCUGGUCUGAGAGGAUGGUCAGCCACACUGGGACUGAGGUACGGCCCAGACUCCUACGGAGGCAGCAGUGGGGAAUAUUUCACAAUGGGAGCAAGCCUGAUGCAGCCAUGCCGCGUGUAUGAAGAAGGCGCUAGGGUUGUAAAGUACUUUCAGUCGGGAGGCGUUACCGACAGAAGAAGCACCGGCUAACGCCGUGCCAGCAGCCGCGGUAAUUC